rnacentral:ncRNA from 1 species
AUCCGUUGGACCACACCCCGCAAACCGAGACCUCUAGGGUGUCUAAAACACGUCUCUUAUAUCCUGUCUAAGGGUGACAGGAAAUAGUAACUCCA